rnacentral:rRNA from 1 species
GAUGAACGCUGGCGGCGUGCCUAAUACAUGCAAGUCGAGCGAACGGACGAGAAGCUUGCUUCUCUGAUGUUAGCGGCGGACGGGUGAGUAACACGUGGAUAACCUACCUAUAAGACUGGGAUAACUUCGGGAAACCGGAGCUAAUACCGGAUGAUAUUUUGAACCGCAUGGUUCAAAAGUGAAAGACGGUCUUGCUGUCACUUAUAGAUGCAUCCGCGCUGCAUUAGCUAGUUGGUAAGGUAACGGCUUACCACGGCAACGAUGCAUAGCCGACCUGAGAGGGUGAUCGGCCACACUGGAAGUGAGACACGGUCCAGACUCCUACGGGAGGCAGCAGUAGGGAAUCUUCCGCAAUGGGCGAAAGCCUGACGGAGCAACGCCGCGUGAGUGAUGAAGGUCUUCGGAUCGUAAAACUCUGUUAUUAGGGAAGAACAUAUGUGUAAGUAACUGUGCACAUCUUGACGGUACCUAAUCAGAAAGCCACGGCUAACUACGUG